rnacentral:lncRNA from 1 species
CUGGAGCGGGAGGCGGCGGCCGGAGGGCCCAGGACAGCCCCGGGAGGGCGGCGAGGCGGAGCAGGAGCGCCCCGGCUCCGGCCACAUUCUCAGAGUCAGGAAAAGGGGCGAGAGGCCACAUGUCUCCCUCUCGCCCAACUGAAAACGAAACGGCGCUCCAGCAGAUUGGGUGGAAAGAGCUGGGUCUCUUUUCUCUGUUUUUCACGCUAGAAAGGGCUUGUAAACAUUGUUCCUUUUAAAAUGACCUACCCCAGGCAUUUGUUUGGGCACACUUCUGUCCUGGGGUCAUCGUUCCUAGGUGGCUUCGGACCUGGGACUUUUCCUGUAUCUGCACAUUGUCGUUUUAUACACAAUUGCCAAGGUGGGACUGCUUUCAACUUUACUGUGCUUGAAGCUGCAAAGGUUCUGCCCUGAUGUUUCCUGGAAUAAUGCUGAGGACUGCCUUUCGGGUAGCCGCCCUAUUCAGUUCACUUCAUCUCGGAAAUACCUGACCCCUGCCUUGGAUCCAGCGGCCCUCCUGAGAGCUGAGGAAGGAGGAAAUCCUAUGUGUCUGCUCCCGGAGCUGCCACAACCCAUCUUCCCACAACUCGGAACUUGGAAAAAGGAACCCAGGACACGACUUUGCUUUUCUUUUGGACCUAGUUGGUGAUUAUACUCUGUCUCCCAUGGAGACCACGUCUUGCAUCCUUCCUUCUAUAUGGGAUUUAGGAUAGAAAUUAAAAAGAAAACAUAUUAUUUUGAGUCUUGAUUUGGAGAAAGGUAGUAUUCAGGAGGAAGUAGGCUAUGAUACACAUAGAAAAUUUGAGGACAGUGUUACUUAACAAGGACAUUUCUGUCUCUGCAGAAGUCACAGCUUGGAGGAAACCAGUUUGCACUAUUUGAUGAGGAAUUUGGCCACCAAACCACUGAUACUUUCCCAAAGGUUUGGCAGAAAUUGUUUUUUGAGUGGCUCACCAGAGUACCCAGAAGAAUCAGUAUGGAAUUAGAGGACAGUGGCCUACCCUAAAUAAAGACAUGAGUGAUGUAUAAAGUCUAGUGUCAAUUUAUUCAGAAAAUAUCAAAAUUAUUCUGGGAGCUAUGGGUCAAAGUUGAUAGGCACAAACAAACAAAAACGAAAGGUAUUUUAAAUUCACAGCUUGGAUAAGUAAAAGGGAGAUGUUGUCAUUUCUCUUCUUCAAUCCAACUUUAGAUUUUCAAGCCGGAAAAAGGGUAAUUAGAAGUUAGAAAUUGUUAUUGCCAGAAAAUAGCUCUAAACCCUGAAAAAAAAAAAAAAAAAAAAAAAAACUGACCCUCCUCUUGGGGAGUGAUAAACCUCAAUUACUGUUGAUAGUAAAACUGAUAUCAACUCUUCGAAACCAGUGAAAGGUGAAUGGAAACCUUACCCUAGGUUAAGGUUUAAAAAAUGUUCAUAAUAUAUAUUUGAAAGUUCCAUUAUUUAAAAUAUUCAUUAGACAUGCUUUGUAAUGUUAAGUUACUUCAAAAAAUCUUACACAAGGGAAGGGAAGUAUGUAUUAUUCCUUCAUUUAAGAGAAAGAUAAUGUGUGAAUAUUAGUUAAUAUUUAUCGUACAUUUACUACCUGUGUCGAAGCGUAGUGUUACACACUUAAUUUCAAUUAUUUAAUUUGAUUCUAACAAUGAAUCCCCUGAGAUGGAUAAUAUCCUCUUCAUUUUACAGAUGAGACAAUUGAGACUUAAAGGUUAAACAAAUGAUUUCCUAAGCUCAUUCAGCUAAUAAACGGUAGGGGACUGCUUGACACCAGUCCAGUUGACCCUCAAAUCCAUGAUUUCUGCCACCAUAUUCACAGAAACAAGACAAGAGCUGAAAAUAUAGCCUGACUCUUGAAACAGUCAAAGAAUUGUGUAUGUUUAUGAAAGUUCUGAUUAAUAAGAUAUUCUGAGGACAAAAGACAAGGCAUGGGUAGAGGGGCAAUGUGUAGAUUAGAAUGUAUCACAAUGCCCACUAAAUAGUAAAACCAUAGAAAAUGAAAUUUAAUCCUUACUGUGUAGAAUAUUUAGAGUAGAUUGUUUUUUCCUCGGUGUCAAUUACUAUUACAACUAUCAAAGAAUGAAAUUAAACAAGAAACGGUUCCUUUGGUUUUUUUUUUUAAAGGUGGGAGUUAUAAAAACAGUAUUUGCCAUCUGGUUUUAGUUAUGGCUGUGGAAAUUCUAUGGGUACAAUUUGUUGUCAUUGUUGUUACCACUACCAAUACAGAGAUGCUAAUUGUAACAUCAGUUUCUAAAUCAGAUAGUGAAUAAUUACAUUUUCAAUGUUUUCUUAACAUAGAUACAAGUUAACAGGAUAUGCUUCUGGCCUGUUUCUGGAUUCUAAGGGUAGAACCAGCAUAAAACUAGUCAGUCCAAGUAUUUCUAAAGAUCCACAGACACAGUUCUCCUGGAUUUGGGAAGCCUAGAGAUAUUAGCACAAUAAUUAAGGCCCAAGUGAGUAUAAAAUUUUAUCUGAAAUUGAAGAGAUAUUGAUUAGAUAAUCCACAGAGACUACUUUUUAGUGAUUAUCUUCCACCAGGGUAAAAGCAACAGCAGCCUGAAAAUGCAAAAGACCAUACAUUUUAAUGGUAAGUCCUCCCCAGGAAGGAUUAAUAAAUCUCAGGAGGAAGAUUUAUUAUCUGUAAAUCCAGGAGGAAGAAAUCAAGAUGAAAACUAUCAUAUUUAUAAAUUUGAUUGUUGCAAUUUUAUAGUUUGACAUAGUGCAAUUGCUUUAGAUUUGAAGGGGAACUUACUUUAGAGUAAGUCACUCAAUCUCUUUUUUGGAAAGGCAAAUGCCACACCUGAUCCUCAUCACUCCCUUCUCCUUUGUCCAUAGCCUGGCUUUAUUCUGCCAUUAACACACACACACACACACACACACACACACACACAAAUUGGGAAGAGGAUUUCUCAUUUUACAGAAAGUAUGCUGGGCUACACAGGAUAUUCUAUCAGGUUUCUUCCAGCUAUAAAAUUCUGAGACUAAAUAUCAAAUUAAAGAAAGUACUAAUUGUCAGCGAUGGGGGAUGUACUGCUAUUUGCUUCUAGUGGUACUCACUGCUCAUUUCCUAUAUUCACUGGUAUAAAAAAAUUUCAAACACCCUCAAAAAAGCCUAUACUGGUGGUACCAGGAAAACGCUGAAAAUCAUUACUUUCUGUGUGGUGUCCAGCUCUUUUGGUUACAUCAUCACUUCGACCAUUCACUUUUAAAGAAAAACUUUUGUGGAACAAAAAUAUAAAGAUUUAUUUUUUUUCUUGGUGGCUUAGCACAGUGGCCUAAUGUGGCUGACCAUGUGCACCUGUUGUGUGAGUCACUUAGACGUGCUUUGUUUCUUGGUCACAGUUGAUCCCUCAACUCAAGCAUCUCACCCUCAAAAUGUUUGUUUGGGACCCAAGAGGCAAACCUUGAGAUGGGUUAUUUCUUUCACCUUGGAUUGGCUCAUCUGCUGGGAGUGGAGCCAAGCUGACAUUUCCUUUCCUUUUUGUCUGCCUAUCACUACGUAGAGGCAGCACAUAAGAGAGGGAAAGCCAUGCGCGUGGAGUCCAGCACAUCACCCAGAAGGCAGAUGUUCUAUCUCCAUUUUACUCAUUAAAACAAACAAAACCACACCUGGAUUGCCUGGUACUUAAAUAAAAUGCACUAUGAUGAUUGAAGAAAAAUAUCUUAUAUUUAAGGAAUAGUUUUAAUAGCUUACAUCUGUAUUUCUAUUAGCUUCCGUUUCUAUUUUUAAUAUUUGUAUAAUAUUAAAAGUAAUUUUAAAAAUGAACUAAUCUUUUUACAUCUCUUAUGAGAAUUUAAUGGAGAUAUGAUGUUUGAAGAUCAAAGAUACGUGGUAUUUGAAAUCAGAAAAUGUGUUUGCUUUUCUACACAGAUUACAAAUAUCAUGCAUUAUUUCACAAACUCUUCUCAAAGUGUUGAUUUUAAAAUUAGUAAAAGGAGGGUAUAUUCAUAUCACAUCCUGGCAUUUUUAUAGGCAAGAUUGAGCAGCUAUAACCUCUAAAGUGCUUUGAUCCCUAUAAGCCUCAAGAAGAGAAUGGUGCAAUUUGAAUUAAUAACUACCCAUUAUAGAGCAUUUGUAUCACAGUAUUUUCCAAAUACUAUCUUAUUUAACCCUACAGCAAUCCUAUGAUAUGGGGAUUAUGUACACAUUACAGAUGAGAACUUGAGGCUCGGAGAAAGUAAAUAACUUACACAAGAUCACAAAGCAAGUGACUGCCAGAGCCAGGAUCAGAACCCAGUCAGGCUUCAUUAGGAGCUCUGCUGAACUCUGUCUAGAGAAUUCUCACCACCUGCUGCAAAGGCUAAAAGAAAGGGUCAUAUUCCACAUGUAGAUUUUGAGAAAUAUUUGUUAUUUUUCUUAUGAUAAAGGUUAUGCAUACACACUCACACACACACACACACACACACAACUAGAAAUUACAGAAAAGAAAAAAGAUUAGCCAGAAUGUCACCACCUAAAGACAGAUAAUAUUUUGGUGUUUUCAAAUAUUCUUUUAUCUAUACUUUUUUGAAUUAUUUUAUUUUAAAAAUAACUUUUACUGGUUGCCUGAUUAUGAAGUAAUAAAUAUUCACCAUAAAUAUUUUGAAAAAUAUAAAACUGUCUAUAAAAGAAAUUUGAAAUGAUUGCUAAUCUCAAAAUAUAGAUACCUGUCAGUACUUUGGCAUUUUAUCCUCCUUGUGGCUGAGGUCACAUAUCUUGAGACUGAAGCACAAAAUUUCUAUACCAUACAGUUUAUAGUUUAGGCCACAACAUCAUUUUUAAAAUUGUUUCUUUGGUUUUUACUUGAUUUGCUGAUGUUUUAUUUUUUAGAAAAUUGCAGAUGUGAUUUUUAGGCAGCUGAUUGGAAUGUUCUGGUUGCUCUGAAUAGGACUAGCUACUUUGUUUUUUACUGAAGGACAAAUAUUAUUCCUACACACAUAAAAAACCUCAAAGAAUGAGUAAUGAUACUGUUUAAAUCUGCCCUUAUAACUCCAAAGAAUGACUUCAAAUUUUCUUUCUUCCAAAGCAACUUUUAAAAGCCUUUCCACUGCACAGUGAAAGAAAACCACAAACUCCUUGUUUAAUAAGUGGGAUCACGUGCUUUUAACACGAGGAAAAGGUCAAUCUGAAGCAACUGAUAUGGAACUGCCAGAGUAGGAGUUGAAAAUCUUCCUAAACUGCUGGAGGAUACACCUCUGAUAGCUUGAGACAAAUAUCCUCUUGAUCAUUGUUUCACCAUAUUUGUCUUUGCUCAUGGAGAACCAUUUUGAUCCGUG